UACGAAGGGUGCGAGCGUUAAUCGGAAUUACUGGGCGUAAAGCGCGCGUAGGUGGUUUGGUCAGUUGGAAGUGAAAGCCCCGGGCUUAACCUGGGAAUUGCUUUCAAAACUGCCGGGCUAGAGUACGGUAGAGGGUAGUGGAAUUUCCUGUGUAGCGGUGAAAUGCGUAGAUAUAGGAAGGAACAUCAGUGGCGAAGGCGACUGCCUGGACUGAUACUGACACUGAGGUGCGAAAGCGUGGGGAGCAAACAGG
rnacentral:rRNA from 1 species